AGACUUGGAACCAACCCAAAUGUCCAUCAAUGAUAGACUGGAUUAAGAAAAUGUGGCACAUAUACACCAUGGAAUACUAUGCAGCCAUAAAAAAGGAUGAGUUUAUGUCCUUUGUAGGGACAUGGAUGAAGCUGGAAACCAUCAUUCUGAGAAAACUAUCGCAAGGACAGAAAACCAAACACUACAUGCUCUCACUCAUAGAUGGGAAUUGAACAAUGAGAACACUUGGACACAAGAGACAGGGUCCCACUCUGUUUUCUAGACUGGAGUGCAGUGGCAUGAUCAUAGCUCACUGUAGCCUCAAACUCCUGAGCGCAAGUGAUCCUCCUUCCUCAGCCUACUGAGUGGCUAGGACUAUAGAAAAUGUUUGCUGACCCGUGCUCUGAAAUAUCUCAUAUCAGCGACUGUCCGUAUGUCCUCAAGUCCUACCCCUGUAUUGCAGUGGUUUUGCUACGGCCUUAGGGCUUUCUUCUGGGCUGAGCACCCUGCCUGUGUUCCCAGCAGGUGGGAAGGGUCCACAAAUCAACACUUCUAGCGAGCAGCCCUCAAACCAUGAGAGCCAAUGGAUAAAUACCCCAGCUCUCUUGCCCCUGGGUUGGGCAUGUUCUACACCAACUUCAAGUCUCACACAGUGGUAACUGCUUUGAUAAAACACACUUCACUGACUUCCCACUCUGCUAGUGUCUCCUGAGAUCUCCCAAAUCAACAACUUGCAGGGGAAUCUUGGUUGCAGAGUAUGUUGCUAGGGGAAAUCCAAACUAAGACAAAUGUGGAUUAUUCUCACAUAUAUUAUUUAUGGUGUCACUUUGAUGUAUAAGUUACUCAGGUGUGAUGAAAAAUUUAUAACCAAACAUUUGGGCCAUUUUUUUUAUUACUACUAAUGGAAAGACAGAUUUUAUUAAUUGAUAGUUUUAUUUUGUAUGACAUUUAUUGGCCAAAUUUAUCCUGAAAGGUGCAGUUUGAUAAUUUUCUGAUAUUUUGAACAUAAAUGCCUAUUUGAGGAGAGUGAUUCUUGAAGUAUUGAAUUAAUCUUUCAUAUUGCAAAGUCUUUCAUCUUUUGUAAAAUUUAUAUUUUCUUGUUUUUUUUUAGGCAUUAAAGUUUUUAUUUUUCUGACAAAACGUUUGAUUUAAGCACUUAUUAUUUCUUUUUUUUUGUUUUUUUGUUUUUCUUUUUUUUAAUUUUUUUUAUUUUUAUUAUUAUUAUUAUACUUUAGGUUUUAUGGUACAUGUGCGCAAUGUGCAGGCCAUAAAAAAUGAUGAGUUCAUGUCCUUUGUAGGGACAUGGAUGAAAUUGGAAAUCAUCAUUCUCAGUAAACUAUCGCAAGAACAAAAAACCAAACAUCGCAUAUUCUCACUCAUAGGUGGGAAUUGAACAAUGAGAACACAUGGACACAGGAAGGGGAACAUCACACUUCGGGGACUGUUGUGGGGUGGGGGGAGGGGGGAGGGAUAGCAUUGGGAAAUAUACCUAAUGCUAGAUGACGAGUUAGUGGGUGCAGCGCACCAGCAUGGCACAGGUAUUUUCUUGUUUUAUACUAAUAAAAUUUUCUGCUACGUCCUCAGAAAACUUCUGUUCAAAUUUUAUUUUGCAUCAAUAAUAGAUGGAAGCAAACCUAUCUAAGAGGCAGCCAAGGUAAUUUUUUUCAUAUGAUGAUUAGCAAUAGGUUCAGGAUGUUUAAAAAUAAGUAUUUCAAAAUCUGUGGAAAUGUUCAUAUUUUUUCUUUUUAUAUCCCUCAUUUCCCCUGCCUAGUGGUUAAAAUCAGUUAAAUAGCGUUAGACUACACCUCUGCCAUUUAUCCUUUGUUCAAGACUGCAUAGGUGUCUAUACCUUGAAUAUAACUUUAAUAUUACUAUUUAAGUUACAUCACAUAUUUUAUCCAUUUGCUUCGUGAACCUAAUACUUGAUGUCCCUUGACCAUUACAAGGAGUAGAACAGAUAAUUUAAGAGAUAUCAUUGAAAAAAACCCUGAGUAGUAAAAUAUUUGAUUUAUUUUGGCCACAUUAAUGUUUUAUUGUUUAAACAAAUAAAUAGACUGCCUCAAAUUACUA